UACGGGGGGUGCGAGCGUUGUCCGGAAUCACUGGGCGUAAAGGGCGCGUAGGUGGCGUGAUAAGGGUGUGGUGAAAGCCCGGGGCUCAACCCCGGGUCUGCCAUGCCGACUGUCAGGCUAGAGUACUGUAGGGGCAGGCGGAAUUCCGGGUGUAACGGUGGAAUGCGUAGAGAUCCGGAGGAAGACCGGUGGCGAAGGCGGCCUGCUGGGCAGUUACUGACACUGAGGCGCGACAGCGUGGGGAGCAAACAGG
rnacentral:rRNA from 1 species